CAUGGCUCAGAGCGAACGCUGCGGGCAUGCUUAACACAUGCAAGUCGCACGAGGGGGCAACCCUAGUGGCGGACGGGUGAGUAACGCGUAGGUAUCUGUCCAUGGGUGGGGGAUAACAGUGGGAAACUGCUGCUAAUACCGCAUGACACCUGAGGGUCAAAGGCGCAAGUCGCCUGUGGAGGAGCCUGCGUCCGAUUAGCUUGUUGGUGGGGUAAUGGCCUACCAAGGCGACGAUCGGUAGCUGGUCUGAGAGGAUGAUCAGCCACACUGGGACUGAGACACGGCCCAGACUCCUACGGGAGGCAGCAGUGGGAAUAUUGGACAAUGGGCGCAAGCCUGAUCCAGCAAUGCCGCGUGGAUGAAGAAGGUCUUCGGAUUGUAAAGUCCUUUCGGCGGGGACGAUGAUGACGGUACCCGCAGAAGAAGCCCCGGCUAACUUCGUG
rnacentral:rRNA from 1 species